rnacentral:rRNA from 1 species
GUUUCCGUUUGGUGAACCUGCGGAAGGAUCAUUG